CCAAUAGCGUAUAUUAAAGUUGUUGCAGUUAAAAAGCUCGUAGUUGAAUUUCGGGAUCAAUUAAUUGGUCGUGCCUAUGGUACGUACUGAUUUUAUUGGUUUCUCCCUUCUGACGAACCAUGAUGUCAUUAAUUUGGUGUCGUGGAGAAUCAGGACUGUUACUUUGAAAAAAUUAGAGUGUUUAAAGCAGGCUAACGCUUGAAUACAUUAGCAUGGAAUA
rnacentral:rRNA from 1 species